GCUUUUUGUAGAACGAGCCAACGAGUUACGGUAUGUAGCAAGGUUAAGUACUUAAGGUACGGAGCCGAAGGGAAACCGAGUCUGAAUAGGGCGACUAGUUGCAUGCCGUAGACCCGAAACCGGGUGACCUAUCCAUGGCCAGGUUGAAGCGAGGGUAAAACCUCGUGGAGGACCGAACCACGUUGCUGUUGAAAAAGCAUGGGAUGAGCUGUGGAUAGCGGAGAAAUUCCAAUCGAACCCGGAGAUAGCUGGUUCUCUCCGAAAUAGCUUUAGGGCUAGCGUCGAGUAUGAGUAGUGGAGGUAGAGCACUGAAUGGGCUAGGGGGCAUAGCGCUUACCGAACCUUAUCAAACUCCGAAUGCCACAUACUUUGAGCUCGGCAGUCAGACUACGAAUGAUAAGAUCCGUGGUCAAAAGGGAAACAGCCCAGAUCGUCAGCUAAGGUCCCAAAGUGUAAGUUAAGUGGGAAAGGAUGUGAGAUUUCUAAGACAACUAGGAUGUUGGCUUAGAAGCAGCCAUUCAUUAAAAGAGUGCGUAAUAGCUCACUAGUCGAGAGAUCUUGCGCCGAAAAUGUAACGGGGCUAAACUUACCACC
rnacentral:rRNA from 1 species